AGAGGAUUGAGUAGUGGAUUUUACUUGAAUGCUCCAUCAGGUACAUAUCUCCAUUUGGGGUUUGGGGUAGUUCUCAUAUAGAUCUUUAUAUUCAGCCCCUUUGGGAAGAUACAUUUCACUGAAAAAUCAGAUGAAUCACACUAUUUCAUACAAAUUCUGGGGAUAGCCUUUGAGCAGGCCACUACUAUCAAGUUGAUUUUGUAACAGCUUGUGCAGAAUCAUAAGAAACCCUAGGACUUGACCGCAGCCCCUUGCGCCUACAUGUAUCCGAGCAUUCUACUUGGCAGUUCUUGUAAAUAAUAGAACCAUACAGUAACUUAGCAUUCUUUUUUGUUUUGCAAUCUGAGCAUGCUUACAAGCAACAAAGUGUGUGCUAUAUUUGUACGGAUCUACGUGCACCUAACAUCAUGCACUUGUACAAUUGCUUUGCACUAUUAUGUACUAUUUCCGAUUUAACAGUAAUACGGAUUUAACAGUAAUAAUACCGUUCAUUUUCUACAUAAGAUUUAACCGUUUGUUCUAUUUUAAAAGCUGAUAAGCAUGUGACUACCAUUUAUUUUGUUGUGACUUUUGUUGUUUUUAUUAAUGGUGGCACUUUAAGAACGGCUUAAAUUUUUAUAUAUCUGCACGGAAUUUUUAAACAAAUCCAGUGGUCAAACUUUGUGUCGAAAGUCAACGGUAUCAAAUACAGUACAUCAAAAGACCCUACAUGGACACACCUAUGCCACAGGCUUCUUGUGGGAAAGGUUCUGAGAAGAACUAGGUGCAUCAAAGGAACAGCAGAACGCUGUUCUCUGUCGUCGUACCUUCCUGGAGAAAAAUCCGUGUAGUCUGUCUAUCUGAUUCUGAUGAUCGCGUUCGCCGAUUGGAAUUUCAGACUCGAAUGCUUGGCUGGACCGCUGGACGCGCUUGCAACGUGCAAGCUUCCAGAAUUGUGGAAACACCACAAUAGCUG
rnacentral:lncRNA from 1 species